UGGUCAAGUUAUUAAGGGUGCAGGGCGGAUGCCUUGGCACUAGGAGCCGAUGAAGGACGUGAUAAGCUGCGAUAAGCUUCGGGGAGUUGCACGUAAACUUUGAUCCGAAGAUUUCCGAAUGAGGAAACUCACUUAGAGUAAUGUCUAAGUAUCAUUAAGUGAAUACAUAGCUUAAUGAGGGGAACUCAGGGAACUGAAACAUCUAAGUACCUGAAGGAAGAGAAAGAAAUUCGAUUCCGUAAGUAGCGGCGAGCGAACGCGGAUUAGCCCAAACCAAUAAAGUUUUCUUUAUUGGGGUUGCGGACAUAUCAUAACGAAGAGGUAUCGUAAUUGAAGAGGUUUGGAAAGCCCCACCACAGAAGGUAAUAGUCCUGUAUGUUAAACGAGAAGACUUCAGAUAUGAUCCAGAGUACCACGGGACACGUGAAACCCUGUGGGAAGCAGGAGGGACCACCCUCCAAGGC
rnacentral:rRNA from 1 species